rnacentral:rRNA from 1 species
UAGGGAAUCUUCCGCAAUGGACGCAAGUCUGACGGAGCAACGCCGCGUGAGUGAAGAAGGAUUUCGGUUCGUAAAACUCUGUUGUUAGAGAAGAACAGCGCAUAGAGUAACUGUUAUGCGUGUGACGGUAUCUAACCAGAAAGCCACGGCUAACUACGUGCCAGCAGCCGCGGUAAUACGUAGGUGGCAAGCGUUGUCCGGAUUUAUUGGGCGUAAAGCGAGCGCAGGCGGUCAAUUAAGUCUGAUGUGAAAGCCCCCGGCUCAACCGGGGAGGGUCAUUGAAACUGGUUGACUUGAGUGCAGAAGAGGAGAGUGGAAUUCCAUGUGUAGCGGUGAAAUGCGUAGAUAUAUGGAGGAACACCAGUGGCGAAGGCGACUCUCUGGUCUGUAACUGACGCUGAGGCUCGAAAGCGUGGGUAGCAAACAGG